rnacentral:rRNA from 1 species
CCAGCAGCCGCGGUAAUUCCAGCUCCAAUAGCGUAUAUUAAAGUUGUUGCAGUUAAAAAGCUCGUAGUUGAACUUGUGGCGUACACAAGGCUGCUGUCCCUUAUGGGUUUAUAGUGUUGCCUGUUGUUGCCAUCUUUGGGUAAAACCUGUGUGGCAUUAGGUUGUCGUGCAGGGGAUGUUCAUCGUUUACUGUGAAAAAAUUAGAGUGUUCAAAGCAGGCUUAUGCCAUUGAAUAUGUUAGCAUGGAAUAAUUAUAUAGGACUUUGGUGCUAUUUUGUUGGUUUGUGUGCCAAGGUAAUGAUUAACAGGGUCAACUGGGGAUAUUUGUAUUCCACUGUCAGAGGUGAAAUUCUUGGAUUUUUGGAAGACAAACUACUGCGAAAGCAUU